CCUUCCACUUCUCUCUGCCAUCGUCUGAGGAAACUAUUUUCGGUCACCAAUGCACCACACCGCCACCACCAAUCGAACCAGCAGCUCAAUCCGAUCAAAACCCAUGGCCAGCAUCGUGGUGCACCCACUCCUGCCUCUGCACGCAAUCCUCCAAUCCGCGACGCUGCUGCUCCCUAGCCUUCGUUAGUUUCUGGCCACCAUCUCGCAAUACCUCCGUCAUCGCUUUGAUUCAGUAAGCUUUGAACUCUUCUCUUUGUCAAGAAGCUUCAAUUCUAAAGAUUAUGGAUUUUGAUUUGCGUUUUCUGAAUUUGGAGGUCCUGUGGAUCUUGAAUGGAUUAGUUUGAGUACUAAAGCAGAGGAGAGUGGUUAUGAAUUCGUGCUUUUCUUUCUGGGCAUCUUGUGCUUGAAAUUAUUCAAGUAUUUGAAGAUUUUACUACUCUUCUAGCUUGCUAGGCCUGUGCCGAAGGCGUUUGGUUUCAUCUUUGGCCGGAGAAUCGGCCAUUGAUCAAGGGAGGCUUUGCUCGUUGACUGAGGCAUUGUAUCGAACACAAGCUUGCAGCUGCUAUAGGCCUCCUAAAACUGUGAAUGUCACCAACCACAAACCUCCAAGACAAAGGAAA